CAUGACUCUGGGCAAGCUGGGCACACAGGCAGAGAGAGACCGCAGGAUGAAGAAGAAACAUGAGCUGCUAGAGGAGGCCAGGAGGAGAGGACUGCCCUUCGCCCAGUGGGAUGGACCCACUGUGGUCUCCUGGCUAGAGACGUGUUAGUGUGGACCAAUGAGCAGGUGGUCCACUGGGUCCAGAGUGUAGGUCUGAAGGACUACAGUAACACCCUGAUGGAGAGUGGAGUCCACGGGGCUCUCAUCGCUGUGGACGAGACCUUCGACUACAGCAGCCUGGCUCUCAUUCUGCAGAUCCCCAUGCAGAAC